ACCAGGGUUACACCUAGAAAAAUCAACUGACUUUUUGGUCUAGAUGCUGUCAAAUGGCCAGAUGAGACUUGAACUUUCAGCAUCAACAAUUACCUCUGGAAUUUGUCAGUACAGGUUCUUCAGAGACAGUGCUCCAAAGAACCCCUUUGGGCUGCGGCUAUUACUAUUCCUGUUUGAUCAAUGAGGAACCUGGGACUUGGAGCGGCUCUGUGCCUAACAUGGGGCUUGAAUUCAACCCUGAGAUCAGGAGUUGCAUGCUCUACUGAGAGAGCCAGCGGGGGCUUCAAGAUUAGCAUUUGAACUGGUAGUGUGAGGAGAGCCGAUUGCCCUUCCUAAGGACACAGAGCUGAGAAAUCCACGUGUGACUGACUGACCGACUGAACGACAGGACAUGGAAAUGGGAGGGCACCUCUACACGGGUGACUUCAGUUCCAGAGACGCAGUGUGAGAGCUUGCCCAGUGACACUUCUCCAGUUGUGUCUGCUUGCAGAA